AAAAAGAAAGAACGUACACCGCAAUAAUUAAUUACAACAUGUCAUUCCUGUGAAGCACAAAAAUACUGAAUAGUUGCAGAGCACUUUAUUUACUUUACCCAGAAAAUCUUUCAAUGACAUUUAAAUAAUUGCUUGUUUACACUUUGCAGAGAAUGGGAAGUUAUAAACUAUAUGCAAGGUACUAAAUCUUUUUAUUGAAAAUCAUUCAAUCCUGUGCUUGAUAAAUUUGGUAAAAUGUUUGCUAACAGUUAUCCAUCAAAAUUAUUCAAAUUAUCCUUAAUCUAAAGGUUAAAUUUUUUUUAUCAGCCACAGGUCAUAAUGUAAUUCAUUUGACAACAUUGUGAAAAGUACAGAGAGAUCAAGCUUUAUUAUCUCAGUUUUCUAGAAGGAAAAGUGAAGCUAUAAAAGAUAUAUGUCACAGCUAAUGUUGGAGAUGGAAAUAGGUUCUGGUUUCACUCACAUUUUACCAUGUGACAUAUAUAAUAUAUAUCUGGCUGGAUUUGAUUUCUGCUAUCUUUCUUAAUUGAGGUAAUUAUUUUUUUAGUGGCACCCAAAUAAAAGCACUUAAUAAUAAAUACUUUUUUAAAAAAAAGAUAGUCAUUAAGCUCUUUGAAUGUCAGUUUUCCUUCUGCAAAGUGAGAAUGAUGUAGAAUAUAGCGUCUAAGUUUGAAUAUAUUUUAAAAUCCAUGAGGAAUUAAGUCCUCUUGGUCAAUUCUAGAUUUUAAGCACCUAGAAUGUUUUUCUGGCAUGUAGAUUGUGCACAGUAAUUAUUUGUUUAAUUAAACUGAACUGAAGUGAAUGGUUCUUUCCAACUCCAUGUUUCGUUGUUCCUGAUCAUUUUAAAACAAUGGCACUCUUUGACUGAUGGUACAUGCAUGAUCAAUCCCUGAAGCAACAGAAAAGAGAACAACCCCAAAGAUGAAGUGAUGCCUCCCUUUGACAUGCAGUUGUGUAGCUAAAAUGAUGGAGAAAUUUGUGAAUCUGAGUCCCACAAUAGUACCUGAGAUUUACUGACUUUUCCGAAGAAUAAAACCAGGGUAAACAAUCUAGAAUAAAGUCCAGCAAAGAUCUCCAGCAGAGAUUAAUUCUGUCCCUGGAAGACUGACUGACAAUGUCUCAGGAGGUUUACAGUAAUGCCAUUAAAGGUGGAGCCACUGGGCUUUCUCUGAGGAGUCUGUAAAGGAAUUACCUUGUUUCUCUUUGUGCAGUUUGAUAAGCUGAGGGAAAAAAUGAUAAUGGCUCCCUAGAACAUUUGACUCACGGAAGGAGGUAAAUCUUAAUGACUUCCCAAUGGACUAACUUGUUUGUUCACAGUUGAUUUUCCUCAACUUCCAUUUCAAGUGUAGCUAGAACAAGUUACAUUGGAAAUGUCUUCUUCAGGCUUUGAUUUGUUCUGUAGCUACUUAACCUUUCCUCUCCCAAAUUCUUAUAGCAGUGAUGAAAACAUGAACAUGGUUUAAUUCAUAUAAAUAUUGAUAAAUUUGUAAGUUGAUAAAAUUAUUUUCUCUGUGCCAGUACUUUAGAAAAAUAGAGAAAUUUAAAUAAAUCUUAUAUCUAUAACCAAGUUGGUGUUAUGAAACCCAACUAGAGUCCAUUCGCCCUAUGGAGUAAGACCAGAUAACCACACGAAGGUUUUUAGUGAAGAAAGAAGGGUGUUUAUUUGCAGGGAGCCCAGUAAGGAGGACUAGGCUUCUAAUGCUUAAGAUUUGACCUCCCUGAUGGCAUACAAGCAAAGGUUUUUAAAGACAAGGGUAAAUUUUAGGAAAGCAGAAGUUAUAGACAAAAUUAUAAAUCAAUGAACGAAGGUUACGUAUUGCUUUUGGCUUAACAGGGUAGAAUGUCUUGAAGUAGGAGCUUAAAGGUCCUUAAAGGUCCUACUUUGCAAUUGAUUAAGGAAGAUAAGCUUCAUUAAAAAAAAAUUGGAGGGUAACAGAAAAGAGUUAGCUAUGGCUCAUGGGUGUGACUGUUGUCACCACUGGGUUCUUCUUGCUCGCUGCUCAGAAAAAAAGUAAUUGGUUCUGGCUGAAUGUGAUUUCUGUUAUCUUUCUUAAUUGAGAUAAUUAUUUUUUAGUGGCACCCAAAUAAAAGCACUUAAUAAUAAAUAAUAAAUAAUUUUUUAAAAAGAUAGUCAUUAAGCUCUUUGAAACCCUGUUUUCCUUCUCCAAAAUGAGAAUUAUGUAGAAGAUAGUAUCUAAGUUGGAAUACAUUUUAAAAUCUAUGAGGAAUUAAGUCUUCUUGGUCACUUCUAGAUUCCAAGUACUAAAAACAGCCAAUGCACUGAAAACAGCAGGUGUUAUAGCAGAGAAAGAGUCUAAUAAUCUCAGGAUGACUAAGCAAGGAGGACAGGAAAUAUUUUUCAAAUUUGCCUCCCCAAGAAUUUAGACACUAGGGUUUUUAAGGAUUGCUUGGAGGGCAGCGGAGUAGGGAAUUGGUACUAUUGAUUGGUUGGAUCGGGGUGAAAUCACAAGGGUGCCAAAAUUGUCCUAGUGUGCUAUCAGGUCUAGGGGGGAGGGAUUUGUCGCCAGUCCAAGCGGCAUCAGUUGGUCCACAAGAAUGCAAAGUUUGAAAAAUAUCUCAAACACAUCUUAGGUUUUACAAUAACAAUGUGAUCUGUAGGGGCAAAUGGGAAAGUUAGAAAUCUACGUCUAAAUUAUAGGGGCAAAUGGGAAAGUUACAAAAGGCAAACUAGAAAACAAUAACCAGUUAUAUUUAACUAUGCCUAGGACUUAGCAGAAUUCAGGGUCCUCCCAUAAUUCUAAAGUCGUAGCCUUUCAUUAGGUUCAUAAAGCUGGUUUUGGGUCGCAACAAGGAGGGGUUAGUUUUGGGAAGGGACUAUGAUCAUCCUUGUUUUAAAGUGAAAGUAUAAACUAAACUCCUCCCAUAGCUAGCUUGGCGUAUGUGCAGGAAUGGGCAAGAACAGCUUGUGAGGUUAGAAGCAAGAUGGGGUCAACUAUAUUAUAUGUCUCUCACUAUUGUAAUUUUGCAAAGGUAGUCUCAUGACUUUCUCCAGGCCUCUCAGAAAGAAAUUUAAAACAAAGAAUGAUGGUCAAAGUUCAGACCUUAGUUUCCCCUUAUUUGAGGUCUACAUGCCAAUGGAUCCAUUUGGUAGGGAUCUGGGCUUUGGAGAAACAACUUAGACACUUAUAUUGUUAUCUUUAGUUUCUAUAGGGAACAAAAUGUCUCGUGAGUUCGACUUCAUUGGCUAUUAUUUUAAGCUACUGUUACAUUCUGGCUUAUCACAUCUUUUAUUUACUUCUCAAGGCUAGCUAGGUGCCUGAAAUUUCCUUUGAAGGAACUCAAGAUUUCUCUUUAUUUCCAUACUUGGUGGGGAGGUACACCUGACUCUAAGAGGGGGGUCCCGGCUCUGUCUCACUGGUGAAACUCUAAUAAAUAGUCUAAACAUCCAUUUAUGUUCAGCUUAAAAUCAGAAAUGUUAGUACCCAUUAAAACAUCCAAAAAGAUAAUUAAUAUUAUAAUUUUAGAGACCUGUUAGAUUUCAUGAUUACUGCUGAGCUUAACUACGGUGGCUUGUCAUAUGUAAAUAUUACCACUGACCUAAGAGCAGCAGCAUAUGCAUUUUCCAGGUUUUACUGUAACGUCUUUUAUCCUUAGAUAAGGAGCUUAGUGCCACAAAUCCACUGGUAUUUUCUUGUAGCCACAUUCUCUGGCCUAAUUUCUAGCACCUAUGGUGAGCCUUUUUGAUGUAUGGAUAAAGACUCAUCUAUGGAGAUGUGGCAUGUGUGCCAUUUUGUCAAAUAUUCAGCUCAGAUUUUUUAUUUGGUCCUGAUAUGGUUUGUCUGUGUCCCCACUCAAAUCUCAUCUUGAAUUGUAACUCCCACAUUCCCAUGUGUUGUAGGAAGAACCCUGUGAAAGGUAAUUGAAUAAUGGGGGUGAGUCUUUCCCAUGCUGUUUUCAUGAUAGUGAAUAAGUCACAUGAGAUCUGAUGGAUUUAAAAAUGAGAGUUUCUCUGCACAAGCUCUCUCUCUUUCUGCCUGCUGCCAUCCACAUAAGACGUGCCUUCUGCCAUGACUGUGAGGUCUCCCCAGCCAAGUGGAACUGUAAGUCCAUUAAAACCUUUUUUUCUUCCCAGUCUCAGGUAUGUCUUUAUCAGCAGUGUGAAAACAGACUAAUACAGGUCCCCUUUAUAUUGUCUCUUAAUUCUAAAAUGCUAUUUUUACAAGAAUUGACAACUUUAUAAAAUGCGUAACCCUAAGUAGAGCAUUUUUUUGUUAUUGGUAAAGUGGGUCUAUAUCAGAUGGAUUUUCCCAAAAGAUAUUUUCCUCUACAAGUCAGAUUAAUAACAAUAAGAUAAAAUCAGUGGGAGGCUGACAUUCAAGUCAUUUAAAAGCUAAAAAAGCAAAUAGAAAGCAAAUAUAUGCUGGUUCUCAAAUCAGAUUGCCCACUAACAAUAAAGGAAGGCUACUUGUGUAGUCCCAGAACUAUGAAAAAUGCUCUAUGUGUCCUAUGCUUUAUGUGUCCUUGGUUUUGCUGUUUCCUAUCCUUGGUUCAGAGCAGUGAGGAGACAGAUUCCAAAAUUGCACUGUUCUUUACUUUUUGAGCAGGCCUCCUUCCCACCAAAGAUUGUUCCAAUAUGCAUAUUCUACAAAUACACUCAUUAAGUUUAAAAACUUCAACUUAGACCAGCUGUCUUAUUUUAAACUUUGUCUUAAUUAUACAUAAGUAGAAAAAGCUGUUUUAACAAUUUGAUAUAAGUGGUCAUCAAAUCAAAGAGAAAAUAAUUUUCUUGUUACAGCUACUUCUUCAUAUAAAUGAUCUACUAUUUGGAUUAUGAUGCAAAUAUUGGAUGGGAGUGCUUCCAACAUCUUCACGCUUAGCUUCGUCACCAUGAGGAUAUAGUCCAGAUGCCAUAACAUUAUUAGCAGAAGCUGGAAAUGUGCUUUGAAGGAUAUAUUCCUGACAUUUCUGUGGAAACAACAAGACUGUGAAUGGAAAGCCUUCAGGCAUGAAUGGGCUUAAUAAGUCACGGAUUCUGGGUCAGUGUUUGAAAGGCUAGAUUUGUAUAGUUAAAAGUUCUUUGCAAGACCAAGCUUUCCCUUUGGAUGCAAGUUGCAUGGCAUAAUCCCAGAUGGACCAGCAUGGAUAUUUCCCUGGCAUAACUUGUUCUUUUACAUCUGUGGAGCAGCAGUGAGUUGAUUGUGUCUUCUUGAAGAUCAAGACUGGUGAGGAUGUUUGGAUAAUAAUCAAAAGACUAUGUUGGACACCAUAGUCUUGAAAAUAUUUAACAGCAUCCUCUCUGUGCUAAUAUGAACUUUGAAGAAAAUGAUGCAGUAGGAUACAGAAAAGCUUCAAAAUACAUUCAUGGGAAACAAUAAUGAUGUUUAUUGGAAUUAAUCACUGCUAAAUACCCUCUUAUAACAGGACAUUUGGAUGGUUCUAGCUAAUGCCAGAGAGGGGUAGAUUUUAUAAAAAGAUAAGAAAAGAUUAAGGAAAAUCAUGAAUAAGGAGAAGAAGAAGACUGGGACAUUUAUAAAUAAGGUACAGAAUCAGAGUAUGUAAGGCAUGAAUGGAGUCUUGGAGUGUAAUGGGAGGUAAUUUGCUACAUCUAGUUGCAUCCAAAUAUGGUGCUGAGACUUUCUUUUCCACCUUAGUAUUGAUAUGUCUGUUUAUCAAGGGCCCCAUUUUUUGCUUUCAGGUAUUUUCAACUAAUUUAGAUCCUUAAAAACAGUGGGUUCCCAAGAGAUUACAUGGGAUUUAGCCAAAUUUCAGAAUAUGGCCAAGUACUUUUACUAAAAUAACCAAAUGCUAGCAGUUGGCAACUUUGAUGAGCCCUAAUUCCCAGGGACCUAGAGAAUAUCUUCUAUGCCAGAUAAUAUAAAUUCUUAUUUGAUCAGCUGUGAUAUAUUCUGUAUGCAUUGGCUGCAUUUUUACAUGGCUUUCCAGAGCAAGCCAUAAUAAAGUCUUCAUCUGGAAGCUGAUUUUUUAAAUCCUUUUCUUGACUUUAGGCCAUUCCUCCUUCUCCUAAAUCACUAGUUCUCAAAGUGUCGUCUGUAGAUUAACAGUAUCAACAUUGGCUGGAAGCUAAUUAGAAAUGCAAAGUUUUGAGCCACACCUCAGAUCUACUUCAGAAACUCAGAGGCUGACUAAACUUUGCAUCUUGUUAAGUCUUCCAGGCAAUUUUAACACAUGCUAGUGUUUGAACACCACCUUCCUAAGGUUGUGCAUGAGCUCUGUCAGCCUGGGUAAGCCUCAUGCAUUGAGUUUUAUGGGAGAGCUAGAGCAGGUUUGUCAACCUCUCUCCUUUUUUCUCGAUUUGCUCCAUACUCAGUUCCACCAGGGCCUGCUCUUUGGAUGCUCAGGAGCACAUAUUGGAGGUCAAAACAACUGCCUUUCUCUUUAUCCUUUUGUUUUAACAACCUAAUUUUCCUUGAGGUGGUGUGGAGUCAUCUGACUGAGAAGGGGAGAGGGUUGGUAAAAAAGGAAGUAUAGAAAAGGGAAAAAAAAAUCUUUUUAGAUACACUCUUGCUACCUGGGAAGACAAUGUCAGACAAUUAUAUGAUCCACCUAAUUUAACGUCUUUUUUUAUUUUUAGCAGAUAUAUCACAUGGAGAAAAUAUACUUUUAUGUAAAUAAAAAUCAGUGAAAUAAAUUUUGCUUUGCUUUGUGCUUAGUGUAUGUGAUAUUAAUAACCAAUAAGUUAUUAGAGGUUCUUCUUUCUUUUAUUUUAAAUUACAUUCUUAAUCAAUGUAUUUUAAAUCAUCUCUCUUACUGCUUCCAUACCUCUAGAUUAUAUAAGAAUAGAAAAUAUGACUCUCAGAAUGAUCAGCCUGAGUAAUGCAACAUUUCAGAUAAUCAAAACAAUUUCACUAAGUUUGUCAGCAUCCAGUAUGGUAAGCUCCAAUCACAAAGAUAAAAUAAUCAGAAUUUCCACUCAUAGUUUAACUUAAGUUGCCAUCUCCUAUUAGAUUUAGGUCAAUGCCUCCUCAAAAGUUAUAUACAGAUACAGUGACUGACUCUUCAUUCAAAAAUAUUUACUUUAUAUUUUUAUCACAUAGGGAAAAAAACAGUCUGUGUGUGUGUUUAUGUAUGUGUGUCUUCAAUCUCUGUUUCUCUGUCAUCUUUUUCUUGUCUGCAUUAGUCCAUUCUCACGCUGAUCUGAGGAAAUACCCAAGACUGGGUAAUUUAUAGAGAAAGAGGUUUGACUCACAGUUCCACAUGGCUGGGGAGGCCUCAGGAAACUUACAAUCAUGGUGGAAGGCACCUCUUCACAGGGCAACAGGAGAGAGAAUGAGUGCUGAGCAAAGGGGAAGCCCCUUAUAAAAUCAUCAGAUCUCAUGGGAACUCCCUAUCACAAGAACAACAUGGGGAAACCACCCCCAUGAUUCAAUUACCUCCACCUGGUCCUGCCCUUGACACGUGGGGAUUAUUAUAAUUCAAGGUGAGAUUUGGGUGAGGACACAGAGCCAAAUCAUAUCAUUUUCCUUCUUUAAACACAUAUUUGUUGCCUCUACCCUAUUAAAAUAAAAUAGCAUAAAAUACUUCUCUCAUUAAUCCUGUUCCAAAAAAUCUAUUCUACCUCUGUAUUUUCGUUGAAAAGUAUGAAUGUGAGUUAUUUUAAGUCUACAGGAAGCCUACUGUAUGGAAACAACUUCUUAAUAAUUUCAGUUAUAAAUGAUAUUCUAUUCACUAAGGCUGCAAAUUUAAAGCCACAUUAUU
rnacentral:lncRNA from 1 species